rnacentral:rRNA from 1 species
GAUGAACGCUGGCGGCGUGCCUAAUACAUGCAAGUCGAGCGAACAGACGAGGAGCUUGCUCCUUUGACGUUAGCGGCGGACGGGUGAGUAACACGUGGGUAACCUACCUAUAAGACUGGGAUAACUUCGGGAAACCGGAGCUAAUACCGGAUAAUAUUUCGAACCGCAUGGUUCGAUAGUGAAAGAUGGCUUUGCUAUCACUUAUAGAUGGACCUGCGCCGUAUUAGCUAGUUGGUAAGGUAACGGCUUACCAAGGCAACGAUACGUAGCCGACCUGAGAGGGUGAUAGGCCACACUGGAACUGAGACACGGUCCAGACUCCUACGGGAGGCAGCAGUAGGGAAUCUUCCGCAAUGGGCGAAAGCCUGACGGAGCAACGCCGCGUGAGUGAUGAAGGUCUUCGGAUCGUAAAACUCUGUUAUUAGGGAAGAACAAACGUGUAAGUAACUGUGCACGUCUUGACGGUACCUAAUCAGAAAGCCACGGCUAACUACGUG